rnacentral:misc_RNA from 1 species
ACCGAUGAAAAGGGAAAAAAAAAUCUCGUCAAUCGGAUGGCCAAAACCAAAAGCCAUAUAAAAGCCGCUUGGAAGAAGAGACGUAAUCGAAACUAGAAAUGNNNNNNNNUUGCGCAUUUCUCUGCGUUCAUAACAGAGCCAUUGAGACCUCUACACCACCAAAAUCGAGUCCUCUAUUCGCUUCCGCCGAGAACUGCUGCCGCCCCUGGAUUUUCUAGCGGGAAAUCGAUCCGUGGAUUUUGUAGAAACAUCAGUAGGGCUCACGAUUUCCACUUCGAGAGACCAAGCCACCUUAAUUGCUCUGCUUCUGCUGGUGAUAACAACUCCUCAGCUUCCGAGGAUGAGCAGGACCAAGGGCCGCCCCAAGAAGCUGUUCUCAAAGCUAUUUCUGAGGUGUCUAAGACGGAAGGGAGGGUUGGGCAGACCACAAAUGUGGUCAUUGGAGGUACAGUGACUGAUGAUUCUACCAACGAAUGGCUUGCUUUGGAUCAGAAGG